rnacentral:rRNA from 1 species
GAUGAACGCUGGCGGCGUGCUUAACACAUGCAAGUCGAACGGUGAAGCCAAGCUUGCUUGGUGGAUCAGUGGCGAACGGGUGAGUAACACGUGAGCAACCUGCCCUGGACUCUGGGAUAAGCGCUGGAAACGGUGUCUAAUACUGGAUAUGAGGCGUAAUCGCAUGGUCAUGUUUGGAAAGAUUCUUCGGUCUGGGAUGGGCUCGCGGCCUAUCAGCUUGUUGGUGAGGUAAUGGCUCACCAAGGCGUCGACGGGUAGCCGGCCUGAGAGGGUGACCGGCCACACUGGGACUGAGACACGGCCCAGACUCCUACGGGAGGCAGCAGUGGGGAAUAUUGGACAAUGGGCGGAAGCCUGAUCCAGCAACGCUGCGUGAGGGAUGACGGCCUUCGGGUUGUAAACCUCUUUCAUCAUCGACGAAGCUCCAUGUUGAUUGGGGUGACGGUAGGUGGAGAAGAAGCACCGGCCAACUACGUGCCAGCCGCCGCGGUAAUAC